AUUGAACGCUGGCGGAAUGCUUUACACAUGCAAGUCGAACGGCAGCACGGGGCAACCUGGUGGCGAGUGGCGAACGGGUGAGUAAUACAUCGGAACGUGCCCAAUCGUGGGGGAUAACGUAGCGAAAGUUACGCUAAUACCGCAUACGAUCUACGGAUGAAAGCGGGGGAUCGCAAGACCUCGCGCGAAUGGAGCGGCCGAUGUCAGAUUAGGUAGUUGGUGGGGUAAAGGCUCACCAAGCCGACGAUCUGUAGCUGGUCUGAGAGGACGACCAGCCACACUGGGACUGAGACACGGCCCAGACUCCUACGGGAGGCAGCAGUGGGGAAUUUUGGACAAUGGGCGCAAGCCUGAUCCAGCCAUUCCGCGUGCAGGAUGAAGGCCUUCGGGUUGUAAACUGCUUUUGUACGGAACGAAAAGGCUCUGGUUAAUACCUGGAGUUUAUGACGGUACCGUAAGAAUAAGCACCGGCUAACUACGUG
rnacentral:rRNA from 1 species